GGAGCAGCCCAGAGCCUGAAUCAGUGUGUGUGUUAGUGGAAGCGUCUGGAAAGGCGCGCGAUACAGGGUGACAGCCCCGUACACAAAAAUGCACAUACUGUGAGCUCGAUGAGUAGGGCGGGACACGUGGUAUCCUGUCUGAAUAUGGGGGGACCAUCCUCCAAGGCUAAAUACUCCUGACUGACCGAUAGUGAACCAGUACCGUGAGGGAAAGGCGAAAAGAACCCCGGCGAGGGGAGUGAAAAAGAACCUGAAACCGUGUACGUACAAGCAGUGGGAGCACAGAGCAAUCUGUGUGACUGCGUACCUUUUGUAUAAUGGGUCAGCGACUUAUAUUCUGUAGCAAGGUUAACCGAAUAGGGGAGCCGAAGGGAAACCGAGUCUUAACUGGGCGUUAAGUUGCAGGGUAUAGACCCGAAACCCGGUGAUCUAGCCAUGGGCAGGUUGAAGGUUGGGUAACACUAACUGGAGGACCGAACCGACUAAUGUUGAAAAAUUAGCGGAUGACUUGUGGCUGGGGGUGAAAGGCCAAUCAAACCGGGAGAUAGCUGGUUCUCCCCGAAAGCUAUUUAGGUAGCGCCUCGUGAAUUCAUCUCCGGGGGUAGAGCACUGUUUCGGCAAGGGGGUCAUCCCGACUUACCAACCCGAUGCAAACUGCGAAUACCGGAGAAUGUUAUCACGGGAGACACACGGCGGGUGCUAACGUCCGUCGUGAAGAGGGAAACAACCCAGACCGCCAGCUAAGGUCCCAAAGUCAUGGUUAAGUGGGAAACGAUGUGGGAAGGCCCAGACAGCCAGGAUGUUGGCUUAGAAGCAGCCAUCAUUUAAAGAAAGCGUAAUAGCUCACUGGUCGAGUCGGCCUGCGCGGAAGAUGUAACGGGGCUAAACCAUG
rnacentral:rRNA from 1 species